GCCGCGGGGCAGCGCCGGGGCGCCAACGCCGAGGGGCUGUUCUUUUAAGAAAACCCUCCUUUUCUCCGGGCUGAACCCAAAGCCGCCUUUUCUCCGCGCUGAACAAUCCCACCUCUCAGCCUUUCCGUGUACGAGAGGGGCUCCAGCCCUCUAAUCAUCCUCGUUGCCCUUAGUUCUUUUUUGUAAGAAGUAUCAUUUUUUCUGUAUCCUUACACCCUUCAGAUGUUUAACGGUGUGAGCUUUUCAGCAUUCCUGGUGAAUUACACACUCUGGGAAUUAAUCAAAGUUAUUUAGUGAAUGAAGUUAUUGCGUGGAGGAUCUGCCUGUCCUUACCUGUGACAGAGGGAUGGUACAUAUAUACAGGAGGAGAAUGGAUUUCAGGAAGGGCAUGAGCAUCUUGGAGUAAAAAUAGUUAAAUCCUGCUGAGAUCAGCUGCUGUCCAGGGACAUCACCCAGGUCUAAUUCAGAGGAAAAAUAGUCAGACUGAAGCACAGCAAAAGGUGAAGAAGUUGCGAUGAGGAGCUUGGUGGUACAUGAACUCUGCAAACCAGCUGGAAACGACAAACAGCCUUGGUCUGAGGGUACGUGUGGGGUACAGGAGAAGCAGAGGGGUGUGUGGGGUACAGGAGAAGCAGGGGUGUGUGUGUGGGACAGGAGAAGCAGGUGUUUGUGUGGGACAGGAGAAGCAGGGGUGUGUGUGUGGGGUACAGGAGAAGCAGGUGUGUGUGUGGGACAGGAGAAGCAGGGGUGUAUGGGGUACAGGAGAAGCAGGGGUGUGUGUGUGUGGGCGCACACGGUGUGAGGCACAGGCCGGGCAUGGAGCCAUGGCGGGAAGCUCCCCCACAGCAGGGACCUUCCGUCAGGGCCUGGCCUCCACACACUGCCCCUCUGCAGUGGGUUUAACCCCACUGCACAAAAACACAGCCUUUCCCCUCAGGGGUUAUCCCAUGUCCACUCCCACACUGGGGUUCUGUGAGCCGUGAGGGAGGGCCCGGCUCCUCCGGGAGCCCUCAGGCCGCCGUGGGCUGAGGAGCCGAAGCAGGUGCCGGCGGGGGGGAGAAGCAGGAAAAUUACUGUUGUUCUCAAAUACUUCUUAGACUUCUGUGAUUUUCAUAAGGACCAGCAAGUGCACUUAGGACAUUAAAGCUUACUGAUGAAACAUGACAGUGAAGUACAGCAUUUAAACACCCAACACAUCCUUCAGAGCAACAGUAAGAGUAGAAUAAGGCGUCAUUGAUGUGCAACUCAGUGUCUCCUGCCUUAACAUUUCUGUGGCACAGUAAAAUGAUGAACUGAGUUUUCUGCUCAUUUAAGUUGAAAGUCAUGCUUUGCAGCACUGCCUUAGCAUGAGAGGAGGGAAGGCUGGGAGGCAGAUAGUGCAGCUGUGUGGUCAGUGGAGGUACCAACACUGGGGUAGGAGUUACAUCAGGGGCUGACUUGGCAUCCUUGCUCCACUGCUCUGCCUUCCAUGAUGCAGGGAUGAGAUCCAUAUGGAGUCAGCACAUCAUUCCUCCCACUCCAGAACAGUGCAAAUACCUCCAGUCAGUGAGGUGGUUGCCUGGUGUGGUGGAGAAUUGGAAUGGGGUAGACACACUAGGAAUAUGAGACUUUUACGUGCACCGCAAUGUACACCCGAGUAAGUCUGAUAAAGAACACAAAUGGAAAUCUCUUGGUCACAAAGAAUACGAUUACAGAGCGAUAGAGGGAGUGCUUUAAUGAGCUGCUUAAUUGUGAGAGGGAGAAAGACAAACAAUAAAUGGUUGUUCUCCAAGCAGCUGAGCCAUUUGUGGUGGAUUUCAAGAGAUUUAAGAGGCAAUCAAAAUACAGGCAGUAAAUAACAAAACACCAGGUGCUGAUAAUGUUUCUACUGAAAUAUGAAAAAAAAAGGGGGAAAAUUACUGAAAGAUUUUACAAGGUCACUUGUUUGGUCUGCAGAUCUAAAAAACAACUGCCAAGGAAGAAACAAGACAUACUUAAAUGAAAUCUUUAAAAUUAAUCAAUUUCUGUGGGAAAUAUAUUUUCUAUAAAGCUAGAAAAAAGCCUAUAUCAGUAUAUGGCAUGAGGUGAUCUUUUGGCAGUGAAAUCUUUUUAAAUCCUUGUUAAAAAAAAGGGAAGUAUUUGAGUGGCACAAGAA